rnacentral:rRNA from 1 species
UAAGGAAUAUUGCGCAAUGGGCGAAAGCCUGACGCAGCGACGCCGCGUGGGGGAUGAAGGUCUUCGGAUUGUAAACCCCUUUCGGGAGGGAAGAUGGAAUGGGGUAACCCAUUCGGACGGUACCUCCAGAAGCAGCCACGGCUAACUUCGUGCCAGCAGCCGCGGUAAUACGAAGGUGGCAAGCGUUGUUCGGAUUUACUGGGCGUACAGGGAGCGUAGGCGGUUCGGUAAGCCCUUUGUGAAAUCUCCAGGCUUAACCUGGAACAGUCGGAGGGGACUGCUGGGCUAGAGGACGGGAGAGGAGCGCGGAAUUCCCGGUGUAGCGGUGAAAUGCGUAGAGAUCGGGAGGAAGGCCGGUGGCGAAGGCGGCGCUCUGGAACGUUUCUGACGCUGAGGCUCGAAAGCGUGGGGAGCAAACAGGAUUAGAUACCCCGGUAGUCCCUGAGCGGGCUGGCAAGGCGCAU